rnacentral:rRNA from 1 species
CGAAGCUGUGGAUUGUCCUUUGGACAAUGGUAGGAGAGCGUUCUAAGGGCGUUGAAGCAUGAUCGUAAGGACAUGUGGAGCGCUUAGAAGUGAGAAUGCCGGUGUGAGUAGCGAAAGACGGGUGAGAAUCCCGUCCACCGAUUGGCUAAGGUUUCCAGAGGAAGGCUCGUCCGCUCUGGGUUAGUCGGGUCCUAAGCUGAGGCCGACAGGCGUAGGCGAUGGAUAACAGGUUGAUAUUCCUGUACCACCUAUAAUCGUUUUAAUCGAUGGGGGG